rnacentral:rRNA from 1 species
GUGCCAGCCGCCGCGGUAAUACGUAGGGGGCAAGCGUUGUCCGGAAUUAUUGGGCGUAAAGGGCUCGCAGGCGGUCUUCUAAGUCUGAUGUGAAAUCUCGUGGCUUAACUACGAGCGGUCAUUGGAAACUGGGAGACUUGAGGACAGAAGAGGAGAGUGGAAUUCCACGUGUAGCGGUGAAAUGCGUAGAGAUGUGGAGGAACACCAGUGGCGAAGGCGACUCUCUGGUCUGUAACUGACGCUGAGGAGCGAAAGCGUGGGGAGCGAACAGGAUUAGAUACCCUGGUAGUCCACGCCGUAAACGAUGAGUGCUAGGUGUUAAGGGGUUUCCGCCCCUUAGUGCUGCAGUUAACGCAUUAAGCACUCCGCCUGGGGAGUACGGCCGCAAGGCUGAA